rnacentral:rRNA from 1 species
CCUGCCAGUAGUCAUAUGCUUGUUUUAAGGAUUAAGCCAUGCAUGUCUAAGUAUAAGCCCCAGAACGGCAAGACUGCGAAUGGCUCAUUAAAUCAGUUAUAGUCCACUUGAUCGUAAUCUUACUUGGAUAACCGUAGUAAUUCUAGAGCUAAUACAUGCAAAAAGUCCCAACUCUUCGGAAGGGAUGUAUUUAUUAGAAUGCAACCAGCCUGGCUCACGCCAGACACUGCUGAAUCAUAAUAACUUCUCGGAUCGCAUAGCCUUGUGCUAGCGACGCUUCAAUCGAAUAUCUGAUCUAUCAACUUGAUGGUAGGGUAGAGGCCUACCAUGGUUAUAACGGAUAACGGGGAAUCAGGGUCCGGCUCCGGAGAAGUGGCCUGAGAGACGGCCACUACUUCCAAGGAAGGCAGCAGGCGCGCAAAUUACCCAAUCCCGACACGGGGAGGUAGCGACAAAAAAUAACAAUACAGGUCCCGAUAAGGGAUUUGUAAUUGGAAUGAGCGAAAUUUAAAUCUCUCAGCGAGGAACAACUGGAGGACAAGUCUGGUGCCAGCACCCGCGGUAAUUCCAGCUCCAGUAGCGUAUAUUAAAGUUGUUGCAGUUAAAAAGCUCGUAGUCAAAAUUCGAGGGGCUGCUUGUGCGGUCGGUCAGGCGACAUGCACCGUACUGCGCCCUUCUCCUUGGGAAGGUCUCCGCUACGCUUAACUGAGUGGUGGAAUCAGGUCUUCCCAUCAUUUACUGUGAGUUAAUUAGAGUGUUUAAAGCAGAUAAUUUUGUCUGAAUAUUAUUAGCAUGGGAUAAUAGAAUAGGACACUAGUCAAGUUCUGUUGGUUGGUGGCUAGUGUAAUGAUAAAUGGAAGCAGUUGGGGCAGUUUAUAUUUAAUUGUCAGAGGUGAAAUUCUUGGAUUUAUGAAAGAUAAACGUAUGCGAAAGCGUUCUGCAAGGAUGCUCUCAUCGAUCAAGAACGAAAGUUAGGGGAUCGAAGACGAUCAGAUACCGUCGUAGUCUUAACCAUAAACUAUACCGACCAGGGAUCAGACAAUGUUACAUGGAUGACUUGUCUGGAACCUUCAGAGAAAUCACAAGUUUUUGGGUUCUGGGGGGAGUAUGGUCGCAAGGCUGAAACUUAAAGGAAUUGACGGAAGGGCACACCAGGAGUGGAGCCUG